UACGUAGGGCGCGAGCGUUGUCCGGAAUUAUUGGGCGUAAAGAGCUUGUAGGCGGUUUGUCGCGUCUGCUGUGAAAUUUCGGGGCUCAACCCCGAACUUGCAGUGGGUACGGGCAGACUAGAGUGUGGUAGGGGAGACUGGAAUUCCUGGUGUAGCGGUGAAAUGCGCAGAUAUCAGGAGGAACACCGAUGGCGAAGGCAGGUCUCUGGGCCACUACUGACGCUGAGAAGCGAAAGCAUGGGGAGCGAACAGG
rnacentral:rRNA from 1 species